GUGCUUGCUUUGGCAGCACACAUACUAAUACUGGAACGAUACAGAGAAAAUAAGCAUGGCCUCUCUGCAACGACGACAAGUAAGAAGGGGGAAAAUGAUACCUAUGUUU